AGACGGGGCCCGCACAAGCGGUGAGCAUGUGUUAAUCGACGCAACGCGAAGAACCUUACCUGGUCUUGACAUCCCGAGAAUUUUCUGAAAACAGAGAAGUGCCUCGCAAGAGGAAUUCGGAGACAGGUGCUGCAUGGCUGUCGUCAGCUCGUGUCGUGAGAUGUUGGGUUAAGUCCCGCAACGAGCGCAACCCUUGUCUUUAGUUGCCAUCAUUAAGUUGGGCACUCUAAAGAGACUGCCGGUGUCAAACCGGAGGAAGUGGGGAUGACGUCAAGUCCUCAUGGCCUUUAUGACCAGGGCUACACACGUACUACAAUGGCAGGUACAAAGGGCAGCCACUUAGCGAUAAGGCGCGAAUCCCGUAAAACCUGUCUCAGUCCGGAUUGGAGUCUGCAACUCGACUCCAUGAAGUUGGAAUCGCUAGUAAUCGCAGAUCAGCACGCUGCGGUGAAUACGUUCCCGGGCCUU
rnacentral:rRNA from 1 species